CUGAAAAAAGUAACAAUAGUUAACGAUACAUCUCAAUAAACAUUAGAGCAAGUUCUGCAAGCCCUAAUGUAUGAUACGAAUGAGCUUCUACAGAUUUAGAGAUACUCACUCUACUAGCGGAUGUUCACUUGAAAAAAAAAAAAAAAAAGGCAGGGAAUCUAACAAAAUCGAGGGGGGAGUAGAAAAAGUAUCUGCUAAGUGCAACCAAGAUGAGAUGAAUCUCUAGUGCCAGAAGUCAAUUUCUCUGAGUAAAUCAAUACACGCGAUCUAAACAAACUACAACUGAAUGUUGGGAGAAUUAUAUUAAUGCUCAAAUCAGCAGAUUACUUACAUAAAUACAGAGAAAGAUCUUUGUAAUUUGUUUAAAAGGAGCAUAUUUUGAGCCAAUACAAACCACAGAGGCAUAUAUACAAGCAACCAAAUUAGGCAAUUCUCUCGCUUUUCACCCCCCAUUCUCCUGAUCAGCAGAACUCUUCGGAAUAAAACAAAACUAAAUUCCAAGGAAUCCAAAAAACGGAAAAAUUAGAUCUAUUUUCAACGGAUCACACCUAGUAAGAAAAAGUAUUUUGUUUUGGUUCGACUUGUGGUCACAUAUACGAAACCGCAUGGAAUGGAUACAUAGUACCCAUAGACAAAGAGAUUAAGUAAGACAUAAAGUAACUUAUUGAACAUAAUAAUUAAAAUAUCAAUCAGAAAAUGAGUGAGUGAAAUAGAGAAGUACAGAUUUGUAAGCGGAAAGAGGCGAAGAAGUAAAGUCACGGCGACGGAGAGAUCGGAGGAGGACGGCGGUCGCCAUUUGAGGAAAGACCUUUCUGUGACUGGGUUUUUGGGUGCUUGGGUUUAGGGUUUAUGAGGGAAAUGGCAGAUAAAGAGAAAAACCUUUUUCCCGGCGAGUUACGAUAUACGAUAUAUGAAGAAAUUUUUGAGAAAUAGUGCGUAUGAGAAGCUUCUAGAAAAAUAUCGUAUCGCCCAUUUAUCGUACAAUACACGAAGUUGUG
rnacentral:lncRNA from 1 species